CAAAGGAGGAUUUAGUAGUAAAUUAA
rnacentral:piRNA from 1 species